AACAUCUUCUUACCAAAAAGUGCAAAGGUAAGGAGAUACGUUCUGCGCAUGCGCGCCCUAUCUCCUUAAAUACGCAUAAUUUGUUAAAAGGAUAUUAAGCAAAGUUGUAGCCCUCAUCAAGACGAACAACUUUUGUUAACAUCUUCUUACCAAAAAGUGCAAAGAUAAGGAGAUACGUUCUGCGCAUGCGCAGCGCUAUCUCCUUAAAUACGCAUAAUUUGUUAAAAGGAUAUU
rnacentral:miRNA from 1 species